AUCUCUACCACAGACAGAGUGAACGGCAACCCUGCAUGACCCUCUGUCCUUCACACACGAUGACAGACAGCACCCGGUGUGACCUGCCCCAAAGUGUACCUUGCUAACAGCUGACUUAUGGGAUAAAUGCAGCAAAGGAAAUCACUGGGUGCAGAGCAGCUACCACUGUGUGGGUUUUCCAAGAUGCUAAUAUCUCAGUAUCCCUGUUCGCUGCCUGACACCUGAGCAGGGGCAGCUGCACCGUGGGAAGCCGGUUCCACAGUUGCAUUUCAGCAGGCGCUCCAGCCAUGUAAAGUUACUAUGUUACCAAAUGACUCAGCUUGCCAGGUCUGUAUUGAAGACUGACAUCAUGUAUAUGCCUCCUGGAGCCCCCACACCCCGUUUGAUUGGGGUUUAUUUUACAAGCACCAGGAGUCUCGACACUUAGCAUCUCUAGAGCUGCCCUGAGACGCUCAGCCCUAUAACAAAUUCUCGCUGUGCUGUAAGCAUUCUGAAGGUGUGCGAGAGAUAAACAGACCUGUAGUCCACCCCAUAGGUGUGCCCACAGGACACAGAUCUCUUCUGUGAUCCACUCUCUGCCGUGUGUGAUGCACACAUGCUUGUGUGUAGCCGAGCUGUCUGAGUUUGUUAUCAACUCCCGAGACCCCACAGCGAGCUUCAUACCCACUCACUCUCUCUGGCUGUUCGUCCUGACUCCCCGGCCUUGGCAGAACAAACCACAACUGGACCACACACUUUGCUCAUGCAGCACAUUUUAAAUACUUUUUUUUUGAGGGGUGGUGGUAGGGAUGAAACUCAUUUUGUAGCCAUGUUCCAACUAGAAAUCUUUUGCCUUAACCUCUUCAGUAGUUGGGGUUAUAGUUGCAAGCCACAGCCCCAAGAUCAUGUUUGAAGUAAAUUGGGCAGAU